CACUAUCAGAGUGCGAUCCGGUAAAUUGCUGGGGUUCAUUAUAAGUGAAAGAGGAAUCGAGGUUGAUCCUGCUAAAAAAAAUAAUAAAAAAAAUAAUAGGAGAAAUGCCUAAACCGAAAAAAAGAAGAAAAAAGAGUAGGUUCGUGGUUUCUUAGAAUAGAUUGAACUACCUGUCAUGGUUCACAUCUCAUCUAACAGCCACGUGUGAACCUAUAUUCAAGU
rnacentral:lncRNA from 1 species